rnacentral:rRNA from 1 species
CGCAGCCUGAUGCAGCCAUGCCGCGUGUAUGAAGAAGGCCUUCGGGUUGUAAAGUACUUUCAGUUGUGAGGAAGGGUGUGUAGUUAAUAGCUGCACAUCUUGACGUUAGCAACAGAAGAAGCACCGGCUAACUCCGUGCCAGCAGCCGCGGUAAUACGGAGGGUGCGAGCGUUAAUCGGAAUUACUGGGCGUAAAGCGCAUGCAGGUGGUUCAUUAAGUCAGAUGUGAAAGCCCGGGGCUCAACCUCGGAACUGCAUUUGAAACUGGUGAACUAGAGUGCUGUAGAGGGGGGUAGAAUUUCAGGUGUAGCGGUGAAAUGCGUAGAGAUCUGAAGGAAUACCAGUGGCGAAGGCGGCCCCCUGGACAGACACUGACACUCAGAUGCGAAAGCGUGGGGAGCAAACAGGAUUAGAUACCCUGGUAGUCCACGCCGUAAACGAUGUCUACUUGGAGGUUGUGGCCUUGAGCCGUGGCUUUCGGAGCUAACGCGUUAAGUAGACCGCCUGGGGAGUACGGUCGCAAGAUUAAAACUCAAAUGAAUUGACGGGGGCCCGCACAAGCGGUGGAGCUG